CAAGGGUUUCACAGCGUGCGCGGGUGCGCGCACACCGCACAGAUAGGGCUCGUGCACGCGCCCCGAGAACAUAACAGAGACAGAGCCUGUCUUUGUUUCGCUUGGAAUCACCAACACGCUCAAAGUCAGCAACAAGCAGAGGCUGAAAACCUGGCACUGAAUGAAUAAGCGCAGAACCCGUUGGAUGAAGCGGUAGCUCCCAAGGUGCCUGUGCCGAACCUGCAGUUGUGUGGGAAGGCAGGGGAGGGAGAGAGAGAGCGCUGCUAGAGGGAGCGCGCCCAGCGGGUAGGCGGCGACGUGCAAGCUCGAGCCCAAGCCUGAGCACGCGCGCCCCCUACUCCGGGCCGGUCGGCCGCGUGCUCCCGGGGCGGGGCGGAGUCUCGCUCUCGAUGCGAGUGUGAGUCAGUGAGCGAGAUAGUGAGAGAGAGAGAGCCCGGGCGGUUUCCUGUGUUUGUGUGGCUCAGGGAAGGAGGGAGAGCUGGGAGCUCGAGUUACUGCCACUUGAUCAUGGCAUAAAGAAGAGGAGGAAGCAACUUCCCAAAGCUCGUAUGCAAUCCUAAAUGCACGAAUCUCACCCGACAAGGACAGUAAAGAAGAAAAUAUCAGACAAAUUUAACGAAAAUGGCGAACGACUCUCCUGCUAAAAGUCUGGUGGAGAUAGAUCUCUCCUCUUUGCGGGACCCAGCGGGCAUAUUUGAAUUGGUUGAAGUGGUCGGAAACGGUACAUAUGGGCAAGUGUACAAGUAAUUGACUUCCAGUAUCUGGUUUCACGGGCGAUGACUGACUGCCCCAUAAUACUUCAAAUUUAAACCUGUCAAUAGUCAUUGUUAUUAUGAAGGCUAUCUCAGCAGAAUCUGACCUCAGUCCUCACCUUUUACCAUGUGUACUUUGAAGAGGGCAUCACUGAAGAGGAGCAGUAUCAACAGCACUGGUUGGUUUUCUAACUUCUUUGCGCAGAGUUGGUGGAUUCAACUAUAGAAUCAAGGCCUAUUUGAGGCUGGAAAUUGGAAUUUGAAACCAUAUUCAUCACUGUGCCACACCGGACAGUCUCUUUUUAUUUGUCCAACUUGGACAAUUGCUUCACGUAUUAAAUUUAUGCUGACAAUGCCUAGGAAUGACCAACUUCGACUGGAAAAAAUAUUCCCUUGGCUGCUGUUGUGUUGGAUGCAGGAAGAUAUGUUCAGUACAAAAGUGCAUGAGAGUUUUGUACCAUAGAUUCCAAGCAUCCAAUUUAAAACCUUUUUAAAAAUUGCUCCCAUUUUUAAACUUUCUGCAGCUCAUCAGUGUAUUGUUUAUCAUUAGCACAAUAGCAUUUUGAGCAUAGUGUUUUUUUACCAGUGCCUGUCCAAAUUAAAGAUAAUUUUUCUGGUUUUUUCAAUUAAAAUGUCUUUUAUUAUGGGACCGGUGAGAAGAAUUUUGAGCCUUAUUUUUGUUUAAACUUGAUGCUCCUUAUAACAUUUAAUUUUAAUUGACAGUUGUAUAUUUGGUAGACAAUGAAAAACACAAUGUAAUGUAUCUUGUUUUACUUCAGCUACCUAUAAUUUUCAGUUAGUAAAUCAGCAUUGUAUAUGGUUGCAGCUUAUGUUGUGGAGUAUUGAAAAGGGGCAUAAAUGAUAAUUGAGAACAGUAUUCUGCUACCCGUGAAAGGGUGUGACAGAUACUCAUUCAAAUUUUUUUAACCAAUAUUCUCAGUCAUUACAUAAUGUUAUAAUAUUUAGAAAAUGCUCCAAUUUUAAUUUGUAAGACAUGCAAUUAUAUUUGUAUUCAAUGUAUCUAUUUUCAAGUUUCAAACAAGCGUAGUACAAAUAAAGUCAGCUUCAAAGAAUAGAGGGUUACUUCAGUCGUCAGACUUAAU